rnacentral:rRNA from 17 species
UGGGCUCUCAGAGGCGACGAAGGACGCGAUAAGCUGCGAAAAUCCACGGGGAGCUGCACAUGAGCAUUGAUCCGUGGGUGUCCGAAUGGGGCAACCCGGCUGGUUGAAGGCCAGUCACACCGCAAGGUGGGCGAACCCGCUGAACUGAAACAUCUAAGUAGGCGGAGGAAGAGAAAACAAAAGUGAUUCCGAGAGUAGUGGCGAGCGAAAUCGGAUUAGUCCAAACCAAUGUUGUUCCGGCAAUGUUGGGGUUGUAGGACCACGACAUUCUUUGCGUGACGAACUGGAACCCUUUGGAAAGAGGGGCCGUAGACGGUGAUAGCCCGGUACAGGCAAGGAGCGUUAAAGAUAGUGGUAUCCUGAGUAGCGCGGGGCACGUGAAACCCUGUGUGAAUCCGGCGGGACCAUCCGCCAAGACUAAAUACUCCUGAGAGACCGAUAGUGAA